UCCCUGGUGGCUCAGAUGGUAAAGAGUCUGCCUGCAAUGCAGGAGAUCCAGGUUUGAUUCCUGGGUUGGGAA
rnacentral:tRNA from 1 species